GGGGGUGUAGCUCAAUUGGCAGAGCAUCUGAUUCUGAGUCAGGCGGUUAGGGGUUCGAGUCCCCUCACUUCCA
rnacentral:tRNA from 1 species